rnacentral:tRNA from 1 species
GGGCGAUUAGCUCAGCUGGUUAGAGCGCACGGUUCACAUCCGUGAGGUCCACGGUUCAAGUCCGUGAUCGCCCA